AUCCUUUUCUAGUUUAUAAGUACGAUGACUGAGUGUCACACAUGUGUGAGAUGUGCCUCCCUCAAACCGUAUUACAUUACCCAUCUGACA
ensembl:snoRNA